rnacentral:rRNA from 1 species
CUACGGGCGGCUGCAGUGAGGAAUAUUGCACAAUGGGGGGAACCCUGAUGCGGCAACGCCGCGUGGAGGAUGACGCAUUUCGGUGUGUAAACUCCUUUUAUAUGUCAAGAAAAUGACGGUAGCAUAUGAAUAAGCACCGGCUAACUCCGUGCCAGCAGCCGCGGUAAUACGGAGGGUGCAAGCGUUACUCGGAAUCACUGGGCGUAAGGACGCGUAGGCGGGUUGGAAAGUCAGGUGUGAAAUCCUACAGCUUAACUGUAGAACUGCACUUGAAACUUCUAAUCUAGAGUAUGGGAGGGGGAGAUGGAAUUAGUGGUGUAGGGGUAAAAUCCGUAGAUAUCACUAGGAAUACCUAAAGCGAAGGCGAUCUCCUGGAACAUUACUGACGCUAAGGCGUGAAAGCGUGGGGAGCAAACAGGAUUAGAUACCCUAGUAGUC